rnacentral:ncRNA from 1 species
GUUUUGUAUGAAAGGAGAAAAGAUUGGUAUCCCCCUAGAUAAGAGGUUCUAGUGACCUUUAGCACAUAUAUGGUUAAGCCACAGCUACCUGCUCUUUGG